GACGAACGCUGGCGGCGUGCUUAACACAUGCAAGUCGAACGGAAAGGCCCUGCUUUUGUGGGGUUCUCGAUUGGCGAACGGGUGAGUAACACGUGAGUAACCUGCCCUUGACUUUGGGAUAACUUCAGGAAACUGGGGCUAAUACCGGAUAGGAUCUCCUGCUGCAUGGUGGGGGUUGGAAAGUUUCGGCGGUUGGGGAUGGACUCGCGGCUUAUCAGCUUGUUGGUGGGGUAGUGGCUUACCAAGGGUUUGACGGGUAGCCGGCCUGAGAGGGUGACCGGCCACAUUGGGACUGAGAUACGGACCAGACUCCUACGGGAGGCAGCAGUGGGGAAUAUUGCACAAUGGGCGGAAGCCUGAUGCAGCAACGCCGCGUGCGGGAUGACGGCCUUCGGGUUGUAAACAGCUUUCGCCUGUGACGAAGCGUGAGUGACGGUAAUGGGUAAAGAAGCACCGGCUAACUACGUG
rnacentral:rRNA from 1 species